CAGUAAAUAUUGAUGAACAUAUUACUCAUAUAAACAAAAACACUUGGGGAACUUCAAUAAUUUUUAAGACCAAAAGGGGUCCUGGGGUGCCUGGGUGGCUCAAUCAGUUAAGCUUCCAACUCGGGUCAUUAUCUCAUGGUUCAUGAAUUCGAGCUCCGCAUCAGGUUCUGUCUGACAGCUCAGAAACUGGAGCCUGCUUUGGAUUCUGUGUCUGCCUCUCUCUCUGUCCCUCCUCCACUUCUCUCUCUCUCUCUCUCUCUCAAAACUAAAUAAACGUUUUUAAAAAGUUUAAGUAAAUACAUAAACAUUAAAAAAAAUUUAAAAGACCAAAAGGGGUCCUAAGACUAGAAAAGUUUGAGAACUGUGAGAAAUAAGUCUCUCUCCCAUACCUAUCCCCCUAGGUACACAAUUCCCCUCACCAGAGGCAGCCUUCGUUACCAGUUUCCUGUGUGUUGCAUGCAUAUACGUAAAAUAAAUAUUAUGUAAGACAUAUUAUUUUUAUUUUUACAAAUGGUAGUAUGUUAUGCACAUUGAGAAUUUUGAAAUAAGAAAAAGUGAUCAUUAUUUCAUCACACUUUCCAACUCUUCCCUCUAGAAGAGCCCUUGGAGGAUGCUGUGUUUACUAUCCCAGCUUUUACUGAGGCAUUCAAUGACACCCACUUUUCCUUGGUUGUUCACCUGCCAAUGACAGAGCCUGGAAUGAGAGCAUGCUCUUCCAGAUGUGGCACGUGCUUCUGGCAGGUGUCCAAGGAUGCACCGUUAUGCUCCAGCGUGGGGCCCGACACAGGGCUCAAUACCAUGACCUUGGGAUCAUGACCUGAGGCGAAAUCAAGAGUCGGGCGCUCAACGGACUGAACUACCCAGGCACCCCAAGAAUUUGCAUUUCUGACGAGCAUCAUGUGAUGCUAAUGCCGCCCGUCCAUAAACCACACUUUGAGAACCCACCCUGGAUUAAGACAAAGGACAACAAAGUGUUUGUCCUGCAUUGUCUGCCCCAUUUUUUGUCCUGGAAAUGCCAUCUCUUAUCUAGCAGCCUGACGCUACUGCUCAUCAAAGCCCAAAGCUCAUGAAUCAUCUUAUGCUCCAGGAUCUUCACAUGAUAUUUAGCAACAUAAAAAAGUUUGAAAAUGUAAAUGCCCGGUAUCUCUUCUGGGAGCUCCCUGAUUUGUAGGACAAUUUAUGUCCCCAUGCUUUAUACAAACGCAGGAAACAAGGGAUGGUCGGUCCCACGUUGGCAUUAUCUGACAGACUUACAGGUAGUGGUUACGAUUUGAAACGGUACCCAACAAAUUCAAGCACUGACUGUUCUUGCAACGGUUUUGGUUUUUUGUUUGUUUAGUGCCUGAUUCUGAAGGGGAAAACAAAAAUGAGUAAGACGUGGUCCCUGCGCAAAGACACCUGAAAGUUUACUGGAAGAAAUAAGCCGUGUAAAAAUAGGUUUAUUGCAGGACGAGGAGCGCAGAGCAGGAACAGAACACCAGACCUGGAAGCAAAACACCCCAUGCCUAUCGAAGCUUUGCUGCUGACUAAUUGUGUGACGGUAGGGCAAGUCCCUGCGCCUGUGUGUGCCGACAGACUCCGGGAUCCGUAUUGAUAAAUACACAGACCACAGGUAUGAUACCUCCCGAGCUCAUGAUUCUCCAGGAUGGCUCUGCCCCUGAGAGCUAAGCCCCAGGGAUGACAGCUAAUCCUGGGAUAAAGCUAAGAUAUCAAGACCCCGAGUACUUAGGAGAGCCUUUCUCUGCUAUAGUGAGCGCCUACCAAGAGGCACUCAGUACAUCCGCCCACUGCAGAGAGGAAAGGAGCGUCUACAGCUAGCUCGUUCUAAAAAAGAACUCUUUUUUUUUUUUUGAGAAUUUACCAUUUGCCAGGUGCUAUUUUUAGUUAAAUACAUGAACUCAAUCUACACAACAACCGUAUGAGGAGCUGCUGUUAUCCCUUCUGCCUCCAAUGCUUUUCCCCAAACACCCAUGUGGCUCACUUCCUCACCCUUUUCAAGUCUUUGCUCAGGUACCACCUUUUUAACGAGGUCUACCCUGAUUGCUGUCUUCCAAAGUGUAACAUCCUCCCCCCACCAAAAAAAGAAAAUCCUUAUUCCCUUUACCCUCCUCUACAUCUUUUCUUCUCAUCACAUUUAUCACAUCCUAAUAAUACUAUAUAUAAUGUACUUAUGCUUACUGUUUCCUGUCUUCCCGUAUUUGAAUGUAAGUUUUCUGAGGGCAGGGCGUUGGUUUGCAACUUUGGGAGUUCUCUGGCUGAAAUUCAAACCUGGUCCCCCUACACAGAGGGCAAGGAGAGACCAAAGAAAGAAGCAGGCCAGUCCAGAUUGGUAGGUCAUCAUACCUACCUGCCAGAAUCUUAAAAGUUUAUAUAGAGCGCUUAACAGGGUUCAGUCCCAUAUACAAUCCAAAUGGUCUCAACAACACAUUUCUUUUUUAAGGUUGUGCCCUUGAAACAGCUCUGGCUACGGGAAUGAUGCUCAGAAUGUACAUUCCGAUGAUGGGGAGGGACUAAGAAGCCUCCUGUCACCUGGGUCUAGCUGUCGGAUCAGCUGGUAGUCACGCCCUCUUGAUGACUUCCCCCAACACAGAGAUCUCUGUUUUGUUCACUGAUGUGUCUCUAGUACCUCAAACCCAGGAAGGCAAACUUGUGUACAGUUUCAGAUAGCAGAUAUUUCUGGCUUUGGUCUCUGUUCCAACAGUCUCUGUUCCAACUAAACUCUGCCCUUCAUCAUUCAAAAGCAGCCACAAAUAAUACAUAAGCAAAUGGAUAUAGCUGAGUUGAAUAAAACAUUACUUAUGGACGUCGAAGCUUGAAUUUACUGCAAUUUUCACAUAUCACAGAAUAUUCUUUUUAUUUUUUUCAACCACUUAAAAAUGUAAAAAAAAAAAAAAAAUCUUAGUUUACAGGCCAUAAAAAAACAGGGAGAAGGCUGGAUGCAACCCCAGGCCACAGUUUGCCAACAGCUGACCUAGAAAUAAUAAAGGUUCAAAUGGAAUAUUUUAUGCCAAAGUAUUUGAGGGUACUUGAAAGUGUUAUUUUAAGUAUAUUGAGCAUUCCUUAUACAAUCAUGUCUAUGUUAUUAUUGUGCUUCCCAAGUGCUUUUCAUAGUCAGCACAGAGGAGAAUUUAACUUUAUCACGUCUCUGAAUUACGACUCAUUUGAGUUAGUUAGAUUGGAAAUCAGAAAUUUCUCAAUAAAGAUGGUAGAUGGUCAACAGUUCUGGCCCCAGAUAUCUCAUCCAUCUCCCAUUGUACGUCAUCAAUAAAACAAGCUCUCAACGUGAGCUUUAGAUUUGAUUUUAUGAUUGUUUAAAAAGCAAUGGACAGCACUAGAGCUACAGCAGUUAUGACAAAGUGUAUGUUUUUGACAGUGACUCAUGCUGAGAAAAGAUGAAGUUGGCUCGUGUCAAAGGUAUAGAAAAGGCUGCAUGAGCGGGAAUGUGUAGAACUGGAACUGGAGGAUUAGCUCAGCGUGUUUCCGAUGUGUGGGGCCCGUGGACGACAGUGCUGUGCUGGAGAGGUUAGUUCAGGAUUUUGUUCUUAUAGACACAGCCUGCUCUCCUAAGACCAAGCUGGACAUUCCACAAUCCCAUACUGACACACAAAGGAAGCACUUCCUAUUGUAGGGAGCCAAUAAGUAUUUGAAUUAAUGGAUGAAUAUAUAGAUAGCUUUGAACUACUGGGGGCAAAGAAAACACUCAUUCUAGUAAACAGGCCAUCAACAAAUAUGAUGAUUUUUUUUCUGCUCUAUUCUUUUCUGCCAUGGGAAAAACAAGAAACAUAAGCCCUAACACUUGGCCACUUAUUCAUUCAUUUAUUUCACAUUUAUCGAGUAUAUGCUAUAUUCCAGAAACUCUACAAGGAACUGGACUUACAAAACUAAUCAAGGCCGCAGGACUGCACUGUAGCUUUCAAAGGGAAUAGACACUUUCCUUCCUCCAUAACAAUUAAUUAAACAUUUGGGUCAUGAUGGGCAGUGAGAUGGCAUCUGCCCGCAGGGUUGUUCAGGCACAUACUCCAUUAAUAAGGUUUCCUGACAGGGGGUGCCUGGGUGGCUCAUUCAGUUGAGCAUCUGACUCUUGAUUUUGGCUCAGCUCAAGAUCCCAGGGUCAUGGGAUGGAGCCCUGUGUCUGGCUCCACACUAAGUGUAGUGCCUGCUUGGGGUUCUCCCUCUCUACCCCUUUCCCCUGCUCACACGUGCUCUCCCCCCGCCUCUCUCUCUCUCAAAAAUUAAAUUAAAUUAAAUUAAAUAAUAAAAUCUAAUUUAAUUUAAUUUAAUUUAAUUUAAAAAAUAAGGCUCCCCGACAGAAAAGACAAUACUAAACCAAACGUGUCAGAAGUUUUGAGACCAGCAGGACGAUGAUUUCGCUCUCAUUCAAUUUCACAGCAUCCUGAGGGAAGUAAAUCACCAGACUGGCUGAUGCACCAGGGUCCACCACCCACUGCAGAAAUAAUAAAAACGUUACCUCAGAAAUCCAGCAAGAAACUUGUGUCUCAAGAAGAAAUCAAAUUUAUACAAACAUGGAGGUCCAGAAUAAGCACUGUUUGGCAUCAGACACACGAAUAAUAGUCUUUAAUAUAAAGGACUUCCAAAAUGGCACAUGAGAAGUUAUACAUUAAACAACUUGAAUAAGUAUUUUGUAAAAAAAAAAAAAAAAAAAAUGAAAUAUAAAAAAUUUAGAUGAACACAUAUUGCUUAAUGUGUGUAUCCCAGUCAGCUUCUCCUAAUUAGUCAAGUUUACCUAAUUAUUCAUAUAUUUAUCAAAGUAUACAUUUUUAAAUGUUAGCCUAUUUACAAUUAUCAAGUUUUUUUAUUUUUUUAAUGUUUGUUUAUUUUUUUAAUAAUUUUUUUAAUGUUUAUUUAUCUUUAAGAGAAAGAGACACAGAGUGCAAGUGGGGAAGGGGCAGAGAGAGAGAGGGAGACACAGAAUCUGAAGCAGGCUCCAGGCUCCAAGCUGUCAGCACAGAGCCCGAUGGGGGGCUCAAACCCACAAUUCAAUGCUUAACUCACUGAUCCAGCAGGUGCCCCAGGGGUGGUAAAUCGUAUUCAUUGAUUUCAUUUACUGUUUUCAUUGUCAUCAUGUGUGCAAAUUAUGAUAACCACUAACUUUUUCAAACUUAAUGUCUGAAAACCUCAUAAAAUCAACCUAAAUAUUUACCUUAUUAGCACAAUUUACAAAACUUUAAUAAGGUCUUACAGUGCCAAGGGUAUGUAUUAUUGUGAAAGUAAAGUUUCACAAAGCUAAAUAAAUUGCCUUCCAUACCUUAAAAAAAAGUAAACAUUUUAUUUUGUCUUGAUAUAAAAAUAAAUAUAAUUCAGCCCGGAUUCAUUAUUAUGUCCAUUGUUUUUUUCUGAAUUUAAAAUAAAUUAAAAUUACAACAUUGUUGUGGGCCCCUACAAGUGUCAUAGGCCUUGGGCACUGUGUCUAUGUGCCUAAUGGAGAUGUUGGCCCUGUGACAGCCUCUGCCUUCCUGCCUUUCAUCCUCCAUAAUUCAAUAACGUGUUUUUUUCAUGUUUAUUUAUUUUGAAAGAGAGAGAGAGAGUGUGUGUGUGUGUGUGUGUGUGUGUGUACUCAUGCAUGAUCAGGGGAAGGACAGAGAGAGAAGGAGACAGAGAAUUCCAAGGAUGCUGCAUGCUGUCAGUGCAGAACCAGACGUGGGGCUCAAUCUCACAAACCGUGAGAUCAUGACCUGAGCCGAAAUCAAAAGUCAGAGGCUUAACUGACUGAGCCACCCAGGCGCCCCAAUCCUGCAUAAUUCAAAAGUUACUCAAAGGGGCUGAUAGGUGGGGAUGACAGGUAGAAUUCCAGGGUGUGGGAGUCUUGAAGGGUAAUUAUGAAGAGUUUCCAAAUUGGGGAAGAGAGGGCUGUGGCAAUGGGGUAAAGAGGAUGACUGUGUGGAGACAGUGACAGCAGCUUAGUGAGGGAUGUUAGGUUCUGAG